rnacentral:rRNA from 1 species
CACUCCUGCGGGAGGCAGCAGUGGGGAAUAUUGGACAAUGGGCGCAAGCCUGAUCCAGCCAUGCCGCGUGAGUGAUGAAGGCCCUAGGGUUGUAAAGCUCUUUCACCGGUGAAGAUAAUGACGGUAACCGGAGAAGAAGCCCCGGCUAACUUCGUGCCAGCAGCCGCGGUAAUACGAAGGGGGCUAGCGUUGUUCGGAUUUACUGGGCGUAAAGCGCACGUAGGCGGACUAUUAAGUCAGGGGUGAAAUCCCGGGGCUCAACCCCGGAACUGCCUUUGAUACUGGUAGUCUUGAGUUCGGGAGAGGUGAGUGGAAUUCCGAGUGUAGAGGUGAAAUUCGUAGAUAUUCGGAGGAACACCAGUGGCGAAGGCGGCUCACUGGCUCGAUACUGACGCUGAGGUGCGAAAGCGUGGGGAGCAAACAGGAUUAGAUACCCGUGUAGUCCC